GCUCAAAUUUGAAAUCUUAAAGGGUUUCCCUUUACGAAUUGUAGUUUAAAGAAGUGUUUUCUGUUGAGGUUUUGGUAAAAGUUCUUUGGAAUAGGACAUCAUAGAGGGUGAGAAUCCCGUAUUUGACCUUUACUUUCAACUUUGUGAUACACUUUCAAAGAGUCGGAUUGUUUGGGAAUGCAGUCCAAAAUGGGUGGUAAAUUUCAUCUAAAGCUAAAUAUUGGCGAGAGACCGAUAGCGAACAAGUACCGUGAGGGAAAGAUGAAAAGAACUUUGAAAAGAGAGUUAAACAGUACGUGAAAUUGUCAAAAGGGAAGCGUUUGACACCAGUGUUGUUUUUCUGAAAAUCAAUUAAAGAACUGUUUAUGCUAAGUUGUUUAGACUUUAUCAGCUAACUGUUUAGUUUUGAGCUUUUCUUUAAUGCACUUUUCAUUUAACAAG
rnacentral:rRNA from 1 species